rnacentral:rRNA from 1 species
GACGAACGCUGGCGGCGUGCCUAAUACAUGCAAGUAGAACGCACAGUUUAUACCGUAGCUUGCUACACCAUAAACUGUGAGUUGCGAACGGGUGAGUAACGCGUAGGUAACCUGCCUGGUAGCGGGGGAUAACUAUUGGAAACGAUAGCUAAUACCGCAUAAUAUUGAUUAUUGCAUGAUAAUUGAUUGAAAGCUGCUAUUGCAUCACUACCAGAUGGACCUGCGUUGUAUUAGCUAGUAGGUGAGGUAACGGCUCACCUAGGCGACGAUACAUAGCCGACCUGAGAGGGUGAUAGGCCACACUGGGACUGAGACGCGGCCCAGACUACUACGGGAGGCAGCAGUAGGGGAUCUUCGGCAAUGGACGAAAGUCUGACCGAGCAACGCCGCGUGAGUGAAGAAGGUUUUCGGAUCGUAAAGAUCUGUUGUAAGAGAAGAACGGGUGUGAGAGUGGAAAGUUCACACUGUGACGUUAUCUUACCAGAAAGGGACGGCUAACUACGUG